AUUGAACGCUAGCGGAAUGCUUUACACAUGCAAGUCGAGCGGCAGCACGGGGGCAACCCUGGUGGCGAGCGGCGAACGGGUGAGUAAUACAUCGGAACAUGCCCAGUCGUGGGGGAUAACACUUCGAAAGAAGUGCUAAUACCGCAUACGUCCUGAGGGAGAAAGCGGGGGAUCUUCGGACCUCGCGCGAUUGGAGUGGCCGAUGUCAGAUUAGCUAGUUGGUGGGGUAAAGGCCUACCAAGGCAACGAUCUGUAGCUGGCCUGAGAGGAUGACCAGCCAAACUGGGACUGAGACCCGGCCCAGACUCCUACGGGAGGCAGCAGUGGGGAAUUUUGGACAAUGGGGGCAACCCUGAUCCAGCCAUUCCGCGUGAGUGAAGAAGGCCUUCGGGUUGUAAAGCUCUUUCGGCAGGAACGAAACGGCGAGCUCUAACAUAGCUUGCUAAUGACGGUACCUGAAGAAGAAGCACCGGCUAACUACGUGCCAGCCGCCGCCGUAAAAC
rnacentral:rRNA from 1 species